UUAUUUGUUUUAUUAAAUGCUUACUCCAGUAAGUUUAAAAAUUUUUACAUCUUCAAAUCAUUUUGCUUGAGUGUUUUGCAUUCUAAGAGUUUGAGGAAAUAUUGAACUCUAAUAUAAAUAGUAUUGGUCAUAGAGUCUUCCUUUCUUAAGAAGCUUACCAUUAACCUAAUGGCCAAAGGAUCCCAAAAGGAAACAACUUUGGGUUGGCUUGAAGAUUUCACAUGGUCCAAACAUUCAUAUUUACUAGAUGCCUGAUAUAAAAUAAAUUUUGCUCUCUUUUCAAUUUAGCCAUUGAUGUAGUCUAAAUGUUUUAUUAGAGCAAUAAUUGUCCAGUAAAUGCAAAAUAGAGGAUGGUGUUAAUGAAUUCAGUACUUCAUCUAUGUUGUAGACUUGUAGUUUAGCAGCUUCUGUUGAUAAUGAGUGUGAGGUUGGCUUUAUCAUGUCACUGUUCCAAAUAUUCUUAAAAAAAAUCAUUUAAGCUCUAUUAGGUUCUUAGAAAAUUUAAGGGAAAAUGUGAGGAAAACAAAAUAGAGAAGAAAAGUGGAAGGAAAAAAAAGUGAAAGUCAAUGAAUUAUUUUUGUAUGCUACUUCAAACUCACUUCACUUUUUUUAACUCUUCAAUAUAAAGAUUCAAUCAUUUGAAAAAUGUGUAAAUUUCUAAUUAAUUUUAAUUAUAUUUGAUUUUCUUUGGAAUUCUCAUUUCUUCUCAUUUUCUUAUGACUUCAUUUUUAUUCAAUAUCUAUAUGAAAUUAUUUAUGUUCAUUUUCUUUAGAUAUUACAUUUUUUUGCUUUCUCAAUAAUUUCAUUCAAGUUCUUUUGGAUAUCACAUUUUCUUUGGUGUUUUUUUUAGAAUAAUUCAAAAUGUCUUUUUUAACGGUUCACAAAAUUUGAUCAUAGUUGAGUGAUUAAAAUUCAAGUUUAUUAUUAUUAUUAUUAUUAUUAUUAUUAUUAUUAUUAUUAUUAUUAUUGGCUAUUUGAUAUAUUUGUUUUCUUAUACAGAUAAAAGACUGGCAGCUAAUGUGCAUAGAAUUUGUAGAAGAGAAUAAAGAUUUGAUCUAAGUUAUUUCUAAUAGGUUGAGGAAUUCAUUCUUGUAAAAUUUGAGUGUUAAAGCCUUCAAGAGGUUUGAAUCUUGAAGAAAUUAUGUAAGAGCCCAUUGGAGCCAGAAUCCAAGUGUAAAGGAGAUUGGAAGCUUGGUUGAAGCUUCAAGUUAGUGAAACCCUCACUCGGUUAGGAGAUUGAGGAGAGUGGACGUAGGCAAGGAAAUGUCGAACCACUAUAAAAUCCAAGUUUAAAUUCUCUAACUCUAUCUCUUUAUUUUUUUUUAUUAUAUUGUACUUGAAUUUGUUGUGUUGAAAAAGUUUUUGAAAAACCCAAUUCACCCUCCUCUUAGGUGUUUUUCUCAUUUAAGCAUAGCCUUUAUUUUCUCACACUUGAAAUCCUUUCUCAUUAAUUUGCUUCCACCUCAUAAGCAACCCUCGAAACCACUUACACCAUGACAAGGUGAAAAGAAACUAAUGCUGCAUUCUCAAUAUAUAAGAAGAUAUCAAAGGAAGGUUGGCCACAUAUAAGGACCCUGUUUCUAAGGUAGAAUUUUAGAUUUUUGUGUUUUUCCUAUCACUACUCCUAUACUAUUACCAGUGCACCUUAUUUGUCAAGAUGAUUAAAAAGGAAUUCCCUAGGAUAACUAGUGUCUCAAGUGAUCUUGAGGUUCAUAAAUUUUUGGUUUCCACAAGAUAGGUGCCAACUAUUUUUUUUUUUUUUACACCCAUGCAAUAUUCCAGUCAUCUAUUAACAAGGGCUAAAAUUUCUUGUAGAGAAUAGAAUAAAGAACUAAAUUACAUGAAAAUAGGACAUUGUUAUUCUAUUUACAAGUAAGGGCCAAAAAUUGUUGAGGGUCAUCAAGUACAUUGUUCCUAAAAUAAUAGCAUCCAUGAAGAUUGAACUGAUACGAAAUGCCUUUCGAGUUUGAAAUCCCUAAAUUUUCUUCUUAUUUUCUAUGACUUCAUUUUUAUUAUCUUACAUUCAAAAAUCCUCUGUUUUCAUUUGUUUUGGUAGUUCUUUUUAUUUGCACCUUAUUUGUUUUAUUAUACUCCAGUAAGUUUGAAAAUUUUUACAUCUUCAAAUCAUUUUGCUUGAGUGUUUUGCAUUCUAAGAGUUUGAGGAAAUAUUGAGCUCUAAUAUAAAUAGUAUUGGUCAUAGAGUCUUCCUUUCUUAAGAAGCUUACCAUUGACCUAAUGGCCAAAGGAUCCCAAAAGAAAACGACUUUGGAUUGGCUUGAAAAUUUCACAUGGUCCAAACAUUCAUAUUUACUAGAUGCCAGAUACAAAAGAAAUUUUGCUCUCUUUUUAAUUUAGCCAUUGAUGUAGUCUAAAUGUUUUAUUAGAGCAAUAAUUGUCCACUAAAUGCAAAAUAGAGAAUGGUGUUAAUGAAUUCAGUACUUCAUCUAUGUUGUAGACUUGUAGUUUAGCAGCUUCUGUUGAUAAUGAGUGUGGGGUUGGCUUUAUCAUGUUACUGUUCCAAAUAUUCUUAAAAAAAAUCAUUUAAGCUUUGUUUGGUUCUUAGAAAAUUUGAGGGAAAAUGUGAGGAAAACAAAAUAGAGAGGAAAAGUGGAAGGAAAAAAAAGUGAAAGUCAAUGAAUUAUUUUUGUAUGCUACUUCAAACUCACUUCACUUUUUUUAACUCUUCAAUAUAAAGAUUAAAUCAUUUGAAAAAUGUGUAAAUUUCUAAUUAAUUUUAAAUAUAUUUGAUUUUCUUUGGUAUUUUCCAAAAGAUAAUCAAAUAUGAGAAAAUCAUUUUCCUUAACAUUUUUUUUUUCUUAGUACUUUUAGUGAACCAAACAUAACCUAAAUGUUUUAGUUUAGUAGUUUCAUCAAAUUAGAUAGACAACCUCACAUCUCUUAGUGAGCUCAGGUGCUAUGUCAAUUAAUGCUUUGUCUCUACUUCUUCAUUGAAGUCUCUAUUUAUUGGAUGCACAGAUGAUAUGAUCCAAACUCAAAUUGAACACUACUCUUGUUUUGCAACAUUACUGCACUCGAAAGACAACUUCAACUCACUUAUAGACCUUCUUAUUGGUGAUUGCACUAAAUCGACACCACUUUGGAAGAGAUGUGUUCCACAUAGAAAAUAUUUCAUUAUAUGCACCUACUCGCAAGAUACCAAAGGGAAACAAGUGAAUACUUGCCUAGGAAUACAAAGGCCAUACUUAGUGAAGGUUCCAUCAAUAAGGAGAACCAUUUCAAGUAUGGAAUUCUCAUUUAUUCUCAUUUUCUUAUGGCUUCAUUUUUAUUCAAUAUCUAUAUGAAAUUAUUUAUGUUCAUUUUCUUUAGAUAUCACAUUUUUUUGUUUUCUCAAUAAUUUCAUUCAAGUUCUUUGGAUAUCACAUUUUGUUUGGUGUUUUUUUUAGAAUAAUUCAAAAUGUCUUUUUUAACGAUUCACAAAAUUUGAUCACAGUUGAGUGAUUAAAAUUCAAGUUUAUUAUUAUUAUUAUUAUUGGUUAUUUGAUAUAUUUGUUUUCUAAUACAGACAAAAUACUAGCAGCUAAUGUGCAUAGAAUUUGUAGAUAGAAUUUGUAGAAGAGAAUAAAAAUUUGAUCUAAGCUAUUCCUAAAGACCAUAAACUUUUAGAGCUACCCAAGAUCUAACAGGUUAAAUUUUGAUUCACUUAGUUUACAAUCCACUAAUUAUCCUUAUGUCAUUUUUGUUAUGUUACAAAUUGCCUUUACUUGUUAUGCAACCUAUCUUAAUAAUUUGGGAAGACCAAGAUAACAUCUUCCUAGUAGAACUGGCUCAAAAAUUGAAAAGGUACACUCAUAUCACCUAUCUACAUGCCCACAACAUUAUAAACACUAGCUCAUGUGUUCCUCACUAUUGAGAUUGUUGUUGCAUGCAGGCAUUUUGGGCGAGGAGGCCCGACUUGUGAUCAUCAAUAACACAAGGCAUGCUUUUAUACAGAGAAUCCCAAAUAAACAUUUAAGCACUUUGUUAGCCCAAGGGUUCUCCUAAUCAGGUUUUGAUGAUAACAAACCAUGGUUAAGUGACUAAUUGGUUUGAAUGAUAAAGAAUCUUAGGUAUAAAUUUGGAAAUUCAUCAAAUGAUCAAAUGGAUACAAGAUCGAGACUUUUGGAAGACUUUUGAUCAUAGGAAACAAAUGUAAGAUGAAUGCAUGGGUGCACUUAGGUUUUACAUAUCUUUUCAUGAAUCUUUGAAAACUCGGUUUAUUCCUUAAAAUUACGAUUUCAUUAAAACCCGAGUUUUAUCAAAUGUACCUUAGGCAAAACAUUUCAAAAUUGGCAUAUUAAUUUACCUAAAGACCUUGCCUAAGUGUUAGAAAGGAAAAGAAUUGAAAAAUAUAGGUUUUCAGGGCCAAAAGGCUGAACUGAUCGAGGCACAUGCCAACCGGCUCAACCAACCAGGGAACCGGUCAAUCGGUUGCUCUUGCCCGAUCGAGAUCUGGUCGAGGAGUGUCAAAAACACUUUCUCUCAUCCAGUAACCUUCUCUUCCCAGUCGAGGUACUCUCCUUACCUCUGGUCGAGGUUCGGUCGAGGCAACGGUAACAUGCCAAAGCAUUAAAUGCUUCAACGACUAGUGAACCAAUCGACCCCCGGCUCGACCGGUUGAGGCUAUUUUUUGCUCUUUUUGGCUCCCGAGCUUAGAAACCAAUAAAUUGAGAGCUCCACUUCAUUUAUGACAUAGAGAAAACUUGCAAUCAAUUGUCUACCCACUUGUUCUUGCCUUAAAAGCUCUCAUUUAUUUCUUAGUGCAUUAAAUCCUCACUUGCAUAUCCUUUAGUACACCCUUGUGAAUCAUCCUAGCUUUGAUUUGUAUUUGAACUAUCAUUGAGGUAGAUUGAGGGAUUCAUUCUUGUAAAAAUUGAGUAUUAAAGCCUUCAAGAGGUUUGAAUCUUGAAGAGAUUAUGUAAGAGCCCAUUGGAGCCAGAAUCCAAGUGUAAAGAAGAUUGGAAGCUUUGUUGAAGCUUCAAGUUAGUGGAACCCUCACUCGAUUAGGAGAUUGAGGAGAGUGGACGUAGGCAAGGAAAUGUUGAACCACUAUAAAAUCCGAGUUUAAAUUCUCUAACUCUAUCUCUUUAUUUUUUAUUAUAUUGUGCUUGAAUUUGUUGUGUUGAAAAAGUUUUUGAAAAACCCAAUUCACCCAUUUCUUAGGUGUUUUUCUCAUUUAAGCAUAGCCUUUAUUUUCUCACUCUUGAAAUCCUUUCUCAUUAAUUUGCUUCCACCUCAUAAGAAACCGUCAAAACCACUUACACCAUGACAAGGUGAAAAGAAACUAAUGCAACAUUCUGAAUAUAUCAGAAGAUAUCAAAGGAAGGUUGGCCACAUAUGAGAACCUUGUUUCUAAGGUAGAAUUUUAGAUUUUUUUGUUUUUCUUGUCACUGUUUCUAUACCAUUACUAGUGCACCUUAUUUGUCAAGGUGAUUAAAAGGGAAUUCCCUAGGAUAACUAAUGUCUUAGAUGAUCUUAAGGUUCAUAAAUUUUUGGUUUCAACAAGAUAGGCGUCAAACCAUUUUUAUUUUUUUCUACACCCAUGCAAUAUUCCAUUCAUUUAUUAAUAAGGGCUAAAAUUUCUUGUAGAGAAUGGAAUAAAGAACUAGAUUAAAUUAAAUAAGACAUUAUUAGUCUAUUUACAAGUAAGGGCAAAAAAUUCUUGAGGGUCAUUAAGCACACUAUUCCUAAAAUAAUAACAUCCAUGUCGUCGAGCAAAAGUUUAUUGCAAUUACAUUAGCAUAUAAAACAAAACUAAUUUUUUUAUUAUUUAUGUUCACACCUUAUCCAUUUGAUAAAAUGCUUAAACAAGUAAGUUUGAAUUUUUUUUGUCUUCAAAUCAAUUUAAAUUUUACAUUCAAAAGUUGAAUUAAUUUUUUUUUUUGGAAAAUUUAACUGCACUUUAGAAGUUUGUGAUUAUUCUUUGGUCCAUCUUAAAAUGAGUUCCCGCAUUUUUCCAUUCCUGAAAUUAAAAUCACAAUAAAAAGUUUUAGAUUGACCUAAAAUUUUCUCAUGGCCUAGAAAUUCAUAUCUACUAGAUGGCUAAAGCAAAAAAACACUUCUAUCUUGUAUUUUAAGUAAUCCCUGCUUGCUAUUUGUUUAUUGAGAGCAUCAUACAAGUUGUGAUUAUAUUUCUUAAUUUUUUUAUAUGAUAAGACGGUAACUGGAUUGAGAAAGAUGCAACUUGUAGAGCAGAAAAUUUCUUGACUACUUUCCUUGUAUUUGCUUUGUGUGUAUCAACUGUUCUGUUAAUUAUUUUUUUAAAAUAUCACUAAAACAAACCUAUUAUGUCAAUGCUCUCUAUUGUUAUGUAUCAUAAUUUAGCUAUUUUUUCCCUAGAAAUCAUGCUUGUUAUUGUGUUAAUCAGUAGGUAGCAUAAGAACUAUUUUGUUCAAGUCAUUUUGUAUUGGCAUUCUUCAUGUUUUAAAAUAUUGUCAGACUAGCAAUUUUACUGCAGAUAUAAUGUUCUCAAAUCAAUGCAAAAAGGGACGUUGUGGGGCUUGGGCACAACCUUCCUUAAAUAGUUGAAUUGAGGGUUUCUAUAAACUAGGUCUCUAUAUCAACAGAUUCUACAUUUCAUCACUAUGGGGACCUUACAAUAAAUACCGCAAAAAACUUCAUUUACUACAUAGUAAGGAUAAUCCUAAGGACUUAAAAGCUUGAGUUGUCUUUUCCAUGGCAGCUUCAGAUCUCUUAAUAAGCUCCAAGUCAUUGUCUACCUUGAAUAUAAAUCACUGCUAGAAGUAUGUGCCCUCAACAUUCCCAUGUUCUCGAUAUUGACUAGAUAUUUGUUGCUAAUCCAUGAAGAAUUGAAGGGAUCUUUGAUAAUGACAUCUAUAAUGUACUUCAAGUUCAUGAUCCAAACCCUCUUCUUGCUUUCAAUAACUUCAUUUUUUUUUUAUAUUACUUUGUGGUCAAUGUUAUAAGGAUGUUGUAUUUUGUUUACCUGAUUCUCAUCCAUCAGCACACAUGAAAGGAAAAGUUUUACAUUGCUUUCCUUCCCUUUGCUCUGUGUUUGUAUAUGUUUAUGCAGCUAAUGCGAACUUCCACCAUAACUUUUUAAGUUUUUUCAUUCUUGAGUUUGGGAAACAACUGGAUUUGAUUGUAAUAUUUCUUGUAGAUAUCACCUUUCUUAAAAAGCUUGCAUUUAUUCACAUUUUCAAGAUGGCUAAGUCAUCUGAUUAUGCUUAUAACUUUUGGUUUCUAUUAAAUUCAGGUAUGAUGUUUGCAAUGCUAACCCCCUUACUCCUCUUGAAGACUACAUAAGUUUCUAGUGCUGUUACUUUAAUGGUUAUAGUCAAUGUAUCCUCUUGUUACUUCCUGCUUGCAUUCUAUAUGUUCAAGAGCUUUAUUAAAGUAAUUAUUUUAUUGAAGAUAUAAUUGUUUUCAGGUCAAAGCAAAAUUGAAUAAUGACGUGGUUUCAACAACUUCUCAAAAGUAAUUGGAAAGUAAGGAACUUUGUGGUAGUAUUCUGAUAUCACAUUGGGCCUUCAAAUUGUUGUCUUGAAUUGACAUAAAUAACAUAAUUUCUUUCCCAGUUAAGUUGCUUCAACAUGUUAUUAUGCUUCAAACUCUUUCAAUUAUGUGUUGUUUAGGUUUGGCAACAUUAGUACACUGGAUAUGUUGCCUCGAGUUACUUACACGACAUAAAAUUCAUCUUUGUUGUUAACUAGCAUCACUACCACAAGAUGAGUUCCCUCAGCAUUCUACAGACAACUAUAAUUUGGGACAAUUCUGGUUUGGCAACAUUAUCGGAGUUGAUAGGCAACCUAACAAAAACCUUUAAAUUUAUAUUUAUCCCGAACUAGCAUCACUGCUGGAAGACGUGCAUCCUUAGCACCCUAUAACCACUCAUAAUUGGAGACUGUUAUGGUUUGUAAACAUUCAACAGACUUGAUAGGUAACCUUGCACCAGUUACAGAGCUUCAAAUUCAUGGCUAUCUUGAAUUGACAUCACUUUCAAACUAGAUGGUUCAUCCAAACCUCAGUUGACACCCAUAAUUCAAGACUUCUCCAUUUUGGCAAUGAUAGCAGAUUUGAUAAGCAUCCCUACUUCACUUACAUACACUAAAAUUGAUAGCUACCUCGGAUUCACAUCAUUGUCACAAGAGAUUGGUUCCUUUAUAUCCCUGCAGACACUUGUGAUCUUUUAUCAUCCAUGUAUAUUAGAAAGACUUAAAAGGGAAAUAGAUGAAGAUAGGCCCAAUAAUCUUCAGUCCUAGAUAUUGAUAUGUGGUGAAGAUUGGACUAAUAUAGAGUUAGUUCAGGUUUGAAAUCCCAAUCUUUCUUCUCAUUUUUUAUGGUUUUGUUUUUAUCAAUAUGCUUUGUUUACAUUCUAUAUGGUAACUUUUGUAUGUAUUAGCAUAUAGAUCAAAAAGGACUUAGAUGAUUAAUUUGAAAAGUUUGCAUCCUCAAUUAAUUAGUAAUUAAAGACCAAACUAAUCAUAUUACUUUAAGUCUUGCAUUGUAAGAGUUUGGGAAAAUGUUAGGGUUGACUGAACUACUAUUUUAUAACAGAUUUUGCCUUACUCAAGAAUCUUGUGAUUAUUCCUUAGCACAAUCAUUUCUCGUGUCUAAGAAAUUCAUAUCUACUACAUGUCCAAAGAAUUUAGUAGCAUUCAAAAUUUAUGCUUUCUUUCAAGUCAGGUGUAUUGCUUGCAGUUCUAACAUGUUUCCUAUUUUGAACGUUGUAUUGUUAUUUUACUAUCAAUGUGUUAAGAGCAUUAUACUCUAUUUUCUAUAAUGUUGUUUACUUGUCAUAAGUAUUAAUUAUUUUAUUGCAAAUGUACUUGUUGCCAAGUUAAAGCAAAAGAGGAAAGUGAGGAUUUUUCAUGGACCAAUGCCUUUCUCAGUUGCUGCCACACUUGACUUCUCUCUAAGUUGUUGAAAAUUUAAAAGUGUGGUAGCAUAAAGUAUUCAGCUCAAGUGCUUUAGUGACUCACUACCCUUGAAGCUUUAGAAGUUGUCAAUACAAUUGGGGUUUCAACAUGUAACCAUUUUGGAAAUUCUAAGAAGUGUAAGUAUUAUGGUUUUACAACUUUAUUAGACUAGAUAGGCAACUUCAAAUUGCUGAAUGCCCUGAAUUAAAAUCACUACUAGAAGGAACCCAUGAGCACUCUAUAGAAACUCAUUGUAAGAGUUUGGGAAAAUGUUAGGGUUGACUGAACUACUAUUUUAUAACAGAUUUUGCCUUACUCAAGAAUCUUGUGAUUAUCCCUUGGCACAAUCAUUUCUCGUGUCUAAGAAAUUCAUAUCUACUACAUGGCCAAAGAAUUUAGUAGCAUUCAAAAUUUAUGUUUUCUUUCAAGUCAGGUGUAUUGCUUGCAAUUCUAACAUGUUUCCUAUUUUGAAUGUUGUAUUGUUAUUUUACUAUCAAUGUGUUAAGAGCAUUAUACUCUAUUUUCUAUAAUGUUGUUUACUUGUCAUAUGUAUUAAUUAUUUUAUUGCAAAUGUACUUGUUGCCAAGUUAAAGCAAAAGAGGAAAGUGAGGAUUUUUCAUGGACCAAUGCCUCUCUCAGUUGCUGCCACACUUGACUUCUCUCUAAGUUGUUGAAAAUUUAGAAGUGUGGUAGCAUAAAGUAUUCAGCUCAAGUGCUUUAGUGCCUCACUACCCUUGAAGCUUUAGAAGUUGUCAAUACAAUUGGGGUUUUAACAUGUAACCAUUUUGGAAAUUCUAAGAAGUGUAAGUAUUAUGGUUUUACAACUUUAUUAGACUAGAUAGGCAACUUCAAAUUGUUGAAUGCCUUGAAUUAAAAUCACUACUAGAAGGAACCCAUGAGCACUCUAUAGAAACUCAUUGUAAGAGUUUGGGAAAAUGUUAGGGUUGAUUGAACUACUAUUUUAUAACAGAUUUUGCCUUACUCAAGAAUCUUGUGAUUAUCCCUUAGCACAAUCAUUUCUCGUGUCUAAGAAAUUCAUAUCUACUACAUGGCCAAAGAAUUUAGUAGCAUUCAAAAUUUAUGUUUUCUUUCAAGUCAGGUGUAUUGCUUGCAAUUCUAACAUGUUUCCUAUUUUGAACGUUGUAUUGUUAUUUUACUAUCAAUGUGUUAAGAGCAUUAUACUUUAUUUUCUAUAAUGUUGUUUACUUGUCAUAUGUAUUAAUUAUUUUAUUGCAAAUGUACUUGUUGCCAAGUUAAAGCAAAAGAGGAAAGUGAGUAUUUUUCAUGGACCAAUGCCUCUCUUAGUUGCUGCCACACUUGACUUCUCUCUAAGUUGUUGAAAAUUUAGAAGUGUGGUAGCAUAAAGUAUUCAGCUCAAGUGCUUUAGUGCCUCACUACCCUUGAAGCUUUAGAAGCUGUCAAUACAAUUGGGGUUUUAACAUGUAACCAUUUUGGAAAUUCUAAGAAGUGUAAGUAUUAUGGUUUUACAAAUUUAUUAGACUAGAUAGGCAACUUCAAAUUGUUGAAUGCCUUGAAUUAAAAUCACUAUUAGAAGGAACCCAUGAGCACUCUAUAGAAACUCAUUGUAAGAGUUUGGGAAAAUGUUAGGGUUGAUUAAACUACUAUUUUAUAACAGAUUUUGCCUUACUCAAGAAUCUUGUGAUUAUCCCUUGGCACAAUCAUUUCUCGUGUCUAAGAAAUUCAUAUCUACUACAUGGCCAAAGAAUUUAGUAGCAUUCAAAAUUUAUGUUUUCUUUCAAGUCAGGUGUAUUGCUUGCAAUUCUAACAUGUUUCCUAUUUUGAACGUUGUAUUGCUAUUUUACUAUCAAUGUGUUAAGAGCAUUAUACUCUAUUUUCUAUAAUGUUGUUUACUUGUUAUAUGUAUUAAUUAUUUUAUUGCAAAUGUACUUGUUGCCAAGUUAAAGCAAAAGAGGAAAGUGAGGAUUUUUCAUGGACCAAUGCCUCUCUCAAUUGCUGCCACACUUGACUUCUCUCUAAGUUGUUGAAAAUUUAGAAGUGUGGUAGCAUAAAGUAUUCAGCUCAAGUGCUUUAGUGCCUUACUACCCUUGAAGCUUUAGAAGCUGUCAAUACAAUUGGGGUUUUAACAUGUAACCAUUUCUUUUUGUUCUUAUAGACAAUAGAACAAUGUGGUAAUUGCAUGACAUACAAUUUGUAAUAGAUGGUCAACUAUAUAUUAAGUAAUCUUUAAUUGCCUUGGAGUUGAAACGUUUGAUGUUGAUAAGGUUUGAUAAUUCUUGCUUUGGUGCUUUGUUGGAUUUCAAUUCAGGUAAUUAAUUGAUCUUGUUAUGAUUUUUUGAUUGUUAUUAUAACUAUCGUGAUAAUCAUUCUUAUUUUAUCGUGGUAAUUGACUUCACUGACUUUAUGCCCAACCUAUUAUUGUUAGUAUUCCAUUAACAUACCUCUAAUGCCACCACUAAUAAACAUCAUGUGUUUAUAUUUAUAACACGUUUCAUUACUGAAAUAAUUUAAUAUUUUCAAAUUUCUUUUUAGAGUGUGAGAAAUAACCAUUAAUCUUUACAACAGCAUAAGUAUCAUUGAUUUGAUAUUGCUUUCUUGAGUAAUUUGGCAAUUUAAUUAUGAAGUUUAGUUGGACAUUACUUGAGAUUCAUGUCUUAUGUAUAUGGUAUAUUUUCCAAACUUCAAUUAUAUUUAGUAGACUUGUAAGUGGUGUUUGUCUAUGAGUUUCAACUCUUGAAAACUAUUAUUGGAGUCUAAGUUCACUUUCAAUAAGGAAAAAAAAAAAUCAACCUUUUCCUCAAUUGUGUAAUUUUAUUCACUAUUGACAUGCCCUUAAAUGGCAUUGCUAUUAUUUGUAGGGAACAUUGUCAAGUUCCAUAUUUGUCUAGAAAGUUAGAAGAAGUAUUUAAUUUGACAUGGUUUGGACAUCUUGCUACUAUCUUUUUAAAUUAGUUAUCAAUAAUUUUUCAAAGUUGACCUUUUUGUUUAUCUCAUACUCCUUUUAUAUUAAAAGGUAUCGCAUGGGUAUUAUGUAGAGGAAUCAUGCCUUCUUUAAUUGAGGUGAGCCUCUUGCAAAAUAUUUCAGGUUUGCUCUCAUUCCAUUUGUUACUUCAUGUCUAUUUUUUUGUAAUCAAUCAAGCAAGAGUUUCUUACUUGUACAAUGGUGAACUUGCUUGCAUGAAUAAUACUCUUUUUACUAUUUUUUUCUUUCUUUAUUAUAUUCAUUGAUACGCUUAGAAGUGAAUAGUGAACCAGGUUUUUUGUUAAAAGAAAUCAAAUAUUGGUAAUUAUUUAGUAUCAUGUUUGUAAUAAUCAAUUAUUGAUUGUAAAGAUACUUGGCUUAAUCAAUUAUUAUAUUGAAAUCAAUUUAGUACUAUGACUAAUACCAAAAGGAUAAUAUUUAGUCUUGUUUGACCAUUAGUCACUAUUCUAGAGACAAAUGCUCACAAGUUUUGCAUCUUUGAAGCAUAUGAGAAAAGUUGGUUCAACUAUAUCACCAACUUACAAGCUCCUUAUAGUGUCCAUAUAUAUAACCUUCGUUGUUCAGGUUUAUGAUUCAUAUCUUUUUUUUUUUCAUCUUUUUAUUGUUUAUAAUUUUUUAAUUGAUUUGUUUAUAAAUUUUUAAACUUUAUUGGCAAUACUAAUUAUUUUUUUUUAUUCUCAUGUGCAAUAGAAUAAUAAGUUGAAUAAGAAGCAUAAACUACUUAAUUGGUAUAACCGUUUACUCAAUUCUCUUCUCAUAUAUUUUUGUUCAAGGUAAUCAAAGUAUCAUUCUUUUUAUUUUUAAAGGUACUUGAACUCAGUGAGGACCAUUCCCAAAACAAGCAAUCAUUACAGUUGGAUUACUGAUAUCAUAUCCUUGAUUGACAUCUAUGCCAUUACAUUUGCAUCUAAAGGAUUUAUAAUGAAAAAAUAUCUUUUUUAUUUCCAUUUUCCUUCCUUCUUUUGACCAUAAUUUGUGUGCUUAUUGAUAGCAUUCAUACCCUAAUAUAUUUGCUAGCAUAUAUAUGCAUAUCAUAAUCUAUUGAAUUUUUUAGCAUAAGGUCUUAGAGUAUUCACAUAUCUCUAGGUUCUAUAUAUUUAUAAUUUUUACAACAUCAAAUGAAGUAUAUGAACCUUAUCCUGAAGGUGAAGUCUCUUUAAAGGGAGUUUCAACAUGUUAGCAAUUACCUAACUUAAUAAUCUAACAAUUUGGCACUAUAUAUAAUUUUGCAACUCUUUCAUAAAGUAAUUGUGUUACCUUUAUUCACAUUUUCUAUCUUUAUUUUAAAAAAAAUGAAUUGGUAAUUGUGUGUCAAAUCUUGCUUACAAUCAUUAAUAGGUACUUAUAUGCUAAAUGGAUAAAGUUAUUUUACAAUUGUUUCAACAUAUUUGGAAUAUAUAUAUAUAUAUAUAUAUAUAUUUAUAGAUGUAAUCACUACCAAGCCAAUGCGAAAAGCUAUAACAAUGAGGAUUACAAAGCUUCAAUUAUGUCUUGGAGAUUCAUAUUGACAAGUUGUAAAUGGUGGGUGAAGUCUCUUUAAAAGGAGCUUCAACAUGUUAGCAGUUACCAAACUUAAGAAUCUAACAACUUGACACUAUAUAUCAUUUUGCAACUCUUUCAUAAAGUAAUUGUGUAACCUCUAUUCACAUUUUCUAUCUUUAUUUUAAAAAAAAAAAUGAAUUGGUAAUUGUGUGUCGAAUCUUGCUUACAAUCAUUAAUAGGUACUUAUAUGCUAAAUGGAUAAAGUUAUUUUACAAUUGUUUCAACAUAUUUGACACACAAGUACCUAUUAAUAAGUAUAUAUUUAUAGAUGUAAUCAUACCUAGCCAAUGCGAAAAGCUAUAACAAUGAGGAUUACAACGCUUCAAUUAUGUCUUAGAGAUUCAUAUUGACAAGUUGUAAAUGGUGGGUGAAGUCUCUUUAAAAGGAGCUUCAACAUGUUAGCAGUUACCAAACUUAAGAAUCUAACAACUUGGCACUAUAUAUCAUUUUCCAACUCUUUCAUAAAGUAAUUGUGUAACCUCUAUUCACAUGCUCUAUCUUUAAUUUUUUUUUUUUUUUAAAAAAAAUGAAUUGGUAAUUGUGUGUUGAAUCAUUCUUACAAUAUUUAAUAGGUACUUAUACACUAAAUUGAUAAAGUUAUUUUACAAUUGUUUCAACAUGUUCUGAAAACAAAAAAGAUUAAUAAGUAUAUUUUUUCUAGAUGUAAUCACUACCAAGCCAAUGUGAAAAGCUAUAACAAUGAGGCUUACAAAACUUCAAUUAUGUUUUGGAGAUUCAUAUUGAAAGUUGUAGAUUAUGGAUGUAUAGUAUAGGAGUUAGAUUGAGUUUAUCAUUCUAUCUUUGACAUCUUAGUUUUCUAUGUAUUGUCCAUCAUAUAUAUUUGUCAUCUAUUCUUUACAACCAAUUUUUUAAGGACUUCUAUGAUUUGUUUAAAUUUAUAUAUUUGUUUUUAUUUGUACUAGAACUUCACCAAGCUACAAAAGCAUCACAAGUAUUGCAAUUGGAGUUCAUGGAUCAGGUAUUUUAGUAGUUUUUGUACCUGAAAUUUUUUUAUGAUACUAAUGAGGAUGUUUACCUUGAUUAAUUUAACACUUAUAUUGCAAAUAUCUAUAUAGGAGUUCUAUACAUUUAUUUAAACAUUUAUAUACAUAUUUAUCCUCUUUCUAGCACAUUCUAAUGAUAUUUUUAACAUUGAUAUAAGUUGUUUGCUUGAAGGUUUCAACUAUUGAAAAUUAUUAUUCAAGCCUAAUGUUAAUCUUUUUCUAUAGUGGAUUUCAAAUAAUAAAUUCUUAUUUGAUUAUUUGUAGGGAAAAUAAACAACUUCUAUGUUUGAUAAGAAAGAAGAUAGAGUAGAUCAAUUUCACAAUAUACGAAUGCUACGCUUUCUAUACUUUUAAAGAUGGUUACAAUUGGCUUUCUAUACUUAACAAGUACAUCUUAGCUAAAAGUGAAAAAAUGUUUCUCUUUGCACAUGCCUUCACUACUAUUUUAAUUGCUAUCUUAAUAUGUUAUGGAAAAACCACGGCAAAUAACAAUAAUAAGGAGAAGAAAUAAAAGAACAAAAAUAUAAAACUUAUAAAGUAGGAUGAUCUAUGUGGUUUGGCCUAAACCUACAUUUAUAUGUGAAAAUGAAGAAGAACUUCCACUAUUAUUAAAGGAGAUUAAAAUCCUAAAGCUUUCAAAUCUCAUGAUUACACUAAAAAUGGACUUUUUUUUUUAAUCAAAAUCUCUUCCUUUAUUUUCUUGAUUAUAUAAGAAUAUUCCAUAGAGAAUUAAUUGUGUAAUUAUCAAAGAUAACUAUUCCUAAAAGAAAAAUCUUAUAAUAUGAUAUUUCCUUUAGAAUAAAAGAAAAAUCUCUUGUAUAAAUAUAUCAUAAUAGGAAAAUAUUAAAGACUUAUAAAUUGACUCAAAACAAUUUGAAAUAUUUUUCAACAAUCUCCACAUUGGCUCAAAUUCUCAAUAUUCAAAUAAACUCAAAAGUCUUCUAUGUUACUUUGCUCUUAUACACCCUUAAGGGAACUUCAAGUAAUAUCAAUACCAAUUAAGUCUAAGCAAUGCAUAAACUUAAUCAUAGAAAUAAGUUUAGCCAUCAUAUCUAUAAAAUUAUCAACUAUAGGGAUCUUUUUCAUUACAUUAGUACCUUGUUCAAUCACAUCUCUAAUAAAAUGCAUUCUAACAUCAAUAUGUUUGGUUCUCUCAUGUAACAUAUGAUUUUUAGUCAAAAGUAUGACACUUGGCUACCAUGAUAACAAUAAUCAAUGAUUGGAACCAAAUAAUUACAUUUUGUGUGCCUAAAAUUAGGCAUUCAUAUUUAAUAUCCAAUUCUAGUUUCAUCCCUUUACUCAAUUUUAUUCCUAAGUCCUUAAUUUUGGGUUUAAUGUAUUUUUUAAAUAUUUUCCUUCUUUUUUGGUAUAUUUAUAUCACAUUUUUGCUAGCCAUUAUAUUUUUCAUGUGUUGGUUGCUAAUUUUACACUACAUAGUUGUCACAUCAUCCAACUAAUGGUUGUUACAUUAUCCAACUAUGGGCUGCCACAUGCUCCAGCUACCUUAGCCUCCUUGCCAAGUAUUUUCCAUGCCAAAAAAAGAUUGACAACUAUUUCAAUUGGUUGGUAAAGUUGAGAAAAGCUUCCACCAACCUCGCCAUUAAGUUGUGCUCCUUGCUCCAAUUUCUAAUUUUGCUUUCUACCCUCUUGUGGAGUUAGUGUGGAAAUGACUUUAUACAAGGGAGAUGAAGGUUGGUUUUAAGUAAGGUAGCUUAUUUGUAAACUUGUAUUUCCUUCAUUCAGGCGGUAGUUCUCAUUUCUUAGCCUUGAUUUUCAAUUUUGAUCCUCUCAUCUUGCCUCUAUGAGUGGCCAACAUCCAAACCAAGGAAUAAUUUUUAAUAAAAUAUUAAUAUUAAUGUUCAAAUAAAAUCAUAUAUUUAUAUUCCUUAUCACAUUUAUAGGAAGAGAAAUAUUUGAGACUAGGCCCAGUUCACUUUUUAUAAUUAUAAAUAUCAUAAAAAUAUGAAUAUUAAUAUCCUUAUCCUCAUAAAAGCAUAAUUAAUUUAUUUUAUAAAAAAUUAAUAAUAAUAAUAAUAAUUACUAGUACGAUUUUAUUUUAAAUAGAUUUAAAAUUAAAUAAAGUUUAAUUUUUAAGGUAUACAUGCAUAAGUUUUUCAUUACAUAUACACAUUUAAUACUUAAUUAGUAAUAGUGUAUUCUAAAAUUUUUUUAUCUAGUCUAUAACUAAUUAAUCCAUUUUUUGGAAUUCUAAAUUGUUCUUAAAAAUUAAAAUAUUCAUUAAAGAAUUGAAAGUGUUUAUUAUGUUUAACUUAAUUUAAAUUUAUUUAUCUAGUGAGAAAAUUCAUAAAAUAUAGUUUUAUGUAUAAAGGAAAUAGUAACGACUUUACAUUUAACGAAUCUUUUAUUUUAUAUUGAUUCAUUUAAUAGUCUAUUAUAUAUAUUUAAAAUUUAUUAAACUCAUUAAUAAAUUCAAUACAAAGUUUUACUUAAUUUGAAAUUCAUCUCUCUAGUGAAAAAAUUGAAAAAAAAUAUUAUUUUGUGAAAAAAAAAUACAAUAAAAUCAUUCUAAACUAAUUUUUGUCCAUAGAUUUUUUGUAUUUAUUAGUUUAUUAUUUGAUUUUUAAAUUAAUUUAAAAAAUUAUUAGACUUAUUAAUGAAUCCAAUACAUUAUUUUUUUGUUUAAUUUAUUUAUCACACCAUCAAACAAACUUUUAUUAUUAGUAAAAGACCUCUCAAAAGAUGUUUUUUUUCUAAAUAAAAAAAAAUAUUAUAAACGAUGUUUGAUUCGAGAGUUUUUUAAAAAUAAAAAUUAUUUUAAAUUAUGUGUACAUAAUUGUUGCAAAUUUAUUUCUUUUUCCAUUACCAUUUUCAUUCCUACUUAACAUUGAAAUGAAAACAAAUAAUCAAUUAAACCUUACAUUUAUUCCUAAUCCAAUGACAAGAAUUGGUAUCACCGAAUUCAUUCCAUUCUCUAGUCUCAUGUAUCAAACAUAGUCGUAUAGUACCAAAAACUUCUUCUAAGUAAUGUGGAAUAUCACAUUCACUUUCAUACAGAUACAGUUUUUAUUGUAUCACAUGGAAUUGUGAGGCCUUUUAGUACCAUUUGUAAUGACCCACCUCCAAUUAUAUAAAUAUUAUUUGGUCUAAGUCCAAUGGACUCUAAUCGGUUUUAAAACUUGGCUAUACUGUUAAGAGAAGUCUACUAUGUAUACAAUCUUCUCCUAAUAAACAUGUGACAUAACAAAUGGUGGGACUCAAACUAAAGCAAGGCCUUUCAAACUGUCUACCAUCUUAGUUUCAGCAUGAAUUCAAUUUGUUCCAAACAACAUAACUCUGGAGUAUUUUAAACAAACGAUUUCCAUUUAAAACACAUUAUUAAAGUAUAAAGAAAACAAACCCGAUCUUCAAGCGGUUUUGGGGAUCACCUGUGGAAGAGCAGUGAAAUAGAAAUAUCCACUAAGUGUAUAGGGACCCAAGAUCAACACAUGCAACAGGAUAUCUAAUUCCUCCUAAUAUCAUCAGCAUGAAGAAAAUUGGCAUCAUUUCCACUGAGUUCUGAUGCCCUCUCUGAAAAAAAAAUAAAUGCAAAACAUUUGUUUUUUCUAAUCAUCGGUCAUCCAUACAUAGAAAAAUCUAUGUGUGAUCUUAAGCCAGAAAAGAUGUUGCAUCUAAUCAAAUUCACUAGACAUGAUGAUAUCUAUACUUUUUUUUUUUUUAAUUAUAUUCAUAUUUAUGUCAGAAAAUAAAUUUUUUAUUUUUUAUUUUUAGAACAUUAAACUUUUUAAAAGUCCUUUCUGGGAUAUUUUCUAGCUUUUUCCUUUUGCUAAUUUUUGUUAUUCAAACAAAUCUUAAGAAAGGAAUCAAGCUUGGACACAAUUAAAGAGCUUGGCAUCCUUGUUUUUAGAUUCCAAAGCAUAUAUAGAGAUUGGGGUAAAACACCUUGUACCUAAGAAAAAAAAAGGAAAAAAAAACACCACAACAAAAAAUUAACCAAAAAUCAGAAAACUAACUAGAAUAAAAAAUCAAGAAAAUAUUUUUUUCUGGGUUAAUAAUUAAUUAUAAUGAAAUCAAAAGAAAAAGAAAAAAUACAUACUUCUUCCUGGCUUUGCCUACACUGAAAGCCAUGAAAGAAUUGGAAAAGCAGUAAAGAACAAGAACAAGAACCACAUAUGGGGAAAGCAAAUCCUCUGUUGCCUUCUUCAGAUUAAAGGCAACUAAUAAACGGGUUAAGGGGUUAUGAGUUUGACUUGGUUGAGUUUGAAGCUACAAAAGUAAGAAAAAUGGUAGUAAUUUUGGAAGCAUUUCUAACUCUUCCAUAACUUGAAAGAUAAAAAAAUUUAAGCGUUAAAAAUGUUAAAAGAGCUUUUUAGAAUCACCCCAAAUGUACUCUAAAUUAUUUAUGACUUGAUGUCACCUUCACACUCAUUUUUCAGUGUCAUUUAAUUUUGGUGUUCCCAUAUUAAAGAUUUAGGGUAAUGUAAUAUUCAAGCCUUCGAAUUUUGCCUUCACUAACCUUUGAAUUUUAAUUAAAUUCUUUGAAGGAUAUUUGACCACUUCAUUGUCCAAAAAUGCUUAUAUUGCCAUUUUUUUGGGUCUUUUUCUAUAAUUCCAAUUUUACUAUUUUUCUUUUAUUUAUUCCUAUUAUUAUUUAGGCUAUUAUAUAUAAUAUUCUUAAUAUUAUAUUUAUAAUUGUUAAUAGUAUAAUUACUUUUUUUUCAUUUAUUUGUCAUUUAUAUUGCUUAUCUUAUCUUUAAUCAUGUAUAAGACUCAAAAACUGCAGAAAACAUUAAUAAGUAACUACUAAACUUCAAAGAGAUAAUAAAAUUCAACUACAUUGAUAUUACAAUAAUACAAAUGAAAUAUAUACCAACCAGCCCUUAAAGGGGCUUUUAAGAAAUAAUGAGUCUACUUCAGAUUGACAUUUAAAGUAGAAUCACCAUCUCUAUAGAUAAAUAUGAAGCCUAAAAAGAACAGAACAUCACUAAAUAAUAUUAAUAAAGCAACAAUUAGAUCAAUUGAUAGUGAAAAUAAAGGUUUACAAGAUGAAUCACAUAAAUAAGAACAACUAAAUUGAGAAACAAAUUACAUGUCUGACAAAUCUAAUGAGGGAAAACAUUGGAGCUAGGUGCCCAAUGAUUGGCUCCUUGAAGUUGACCUACCUCCUCAAUAGGUACAUAGGAGUCCUUACCUAAAAAAACAUUAAAAUCAAUAGGGCGAACAUAAGAUCUAAUAAAGGAUAUGAGUUUUCCUUUUUGUGCACCAAAGGAAGAUAAUGAAGUAGAAGAAAAUGAUGAGAAUUUUUUUUUUGGAAAAUAUGGGGAGUCGUUCUGUAAAUGAAGCAGAAGAGGAGAAGUUGUAAGUGUUGGAGAGAAAAAAGAAGAAGGACAUUUUUGUCUCAAUCAACAAUUUUGUUUUGUUUUUUAACCGGUGGGUUAUAUAUGCAAAUGUGGGGGUUAUUUUGACCCCUUUAACCAAAUAUCCCUCUUUUUUAUCGAGUUACAACUUUAAAUUAGGUGUAAAAAGAAAUUUUGAUAUGGUAGAUACUAUACAGUUAUAUAUUGAAAUUCCAUGGUUCAUUAGAUAAACCAUCCUUGAAUUUCUUUGGUUUCAAUCAAGAUGAUAGAUCAUCCUUCCACAGAGUGACCUAAUAUGACAUUGAUUUUCUAGGGCUUCAAACACGAAGGGUGUCAAUGACUAAGAACUCCGUUUGAUUGCCGAGAAAAUGAGGAAAAAAACCCUCAAAUAAAAUAUAAAUACAAUUAAGAAUUUCAAUUUUACAUUGUUAGGGACCCCAAAAAUGGGAACAUUCACUUAACUGAGCCUAAUCCAACCACCUACCUUAGUUCAAUCCAGUCCCCACUUUCUAGAAACCAAAACAAUAUAAACAUUCCUGUGUUUGACUAUUCAGAAAGCAUAUGAUAAGCAAAGAAAAGAACGGUGCCUCCUCAAUCAAACAAAUUUUUUUUUUUCCUUUUCUUUUCUUGCAUUUUCUUUUUUUCGGCAACCAAACAUAACUUUUUAAUUGAGCAUUGUUGUAUACAAUUUAGAUUUCUUUCCCUCGGUUUCUCCGUAACCAAACAGAAUUUUUCUCUAUUGAGCGAGAGUCUAGUAUAUCCUUCGUUUUCCUAUAACCAAACAGAACUUCCCUUGUUAUUUUUUUUAAUCUUUUCUUUGAAUUUCUCGGAAACCCAACGGAGUUUACUUCUGGUGCAACCGUGCAAGAAAAUGGUUUUACCUGAUCGCAGUUCACCGGACUAACUGAAGCAACAGAGGCUUAAGAAAAAGAGACUGAGCUUUGUUUGUUAGACCCCCUAUGUGAGUAUGCAAAGUAAGAAGAACUGAAGCUGAAAUUAGGCGGCUUCCAAACACGUCCUAGGAGUUGGUUUUAAAACCCAUUUUUCCCCUUUUUGGUUGCAAUCGGUCUGCAAAGAUGCCAUUAAAAGGUAACCGUAGUUGGUUGCAUGAAUAAGAAAAUGAAAAGAAAAGAAGUUAAAACUAAUUAAAAUUAUUUAAUAUUUACAUUGAAGAGUAAAAAUAAUUACAAUAUAUUUAAAUAAACACAUAAAAAUAAUAAUUUAUUAAUUUUAAAUCUAUUUUUAAAAUUUUCAAUUUUUCAUUUAUUUUAUUCCCUCUAAGCUUUCUAACUAAGGUCAUAAUUUGGACAAAUUGUUGGAUUCAUAACUAAUCUAAAUAAUCUAAUAGAGAUAAAUAAAUAAUUAAUUUAAGUUCAACCCAACCUCUAAGCUUUCUAACUAAGGUCAUAAUUUGGACAAAUUGUUGGAUUCAUAGCUAAUCUGAAUAAUCUAAUAGAGAUAAAUAAAUAAUUAAUUUAAGUUCAACCCAACCUCUAAGCUUUCUAACUAGGGUCAUAACUUGAACAAAUUGGAUGGUUAACAUACAACUUGGACAUAUUGGUGGGUUCAUAGCUAAUCUGAAUAAUUUAAUAGGGAUUAAUAAAUAAUUAAUUUAAGUUUAGCCCCACCUCUAAACAAAGGUAUUUAAUUCAAUCUCAACCAACUUCAUUUCUUCGAGCUCUGGUUGAUGAGGUUAAACUUGGGUUAGCCCUUGAUUGUAUAAUUCAAAAUACAUGUAGAAUGUUUUUUAAUAAAAAAAAAUUUAUAUACUUAUAUCAAAUUUUAAAUAGUAAGUAGGACAAAACUUUAAAAUAACAAAAAAAAAACAAAAAAAAAAAACAAAAGCAAAAACAAAGUUAUAUAUCUUUUUUAAAAAGUAAAAAAAUAUAUUAUAUAAUAUAAUUUGAUUUUUUAUUUAUAAAAAUUUAGAAAGAAUAAAAUUAUUAUAUAAAAUAACAUAUAUUGGAAAUAUUAUAAAAACACUAAAAGUUUGUUCAGUAGUUAUUCAAAUAAGUGUUUCUAUCCAUAAUUUAAACUUUGGUUUCAAUCUAACUUGAAUUGAAUUUGAGUUGAAAAAGUUUAACUUGAAUAUUAAAAAUAAUUGUCUAAACACGAUCAAAUAUCGGAUUGGAUUCGACUAAUCUGCCAAAGUUGCACUCCUACCAAGAACCAUACACAAUAAAAAGAUUUUAAGAUAUUUUUUGUUCUAGGAAAGUACUCAAAAAGGAGAAAUAAAGAAAAAAAAUGAUUCUAUAUGUAUAAUUAAAAUUAGUUAAAUUUUAUAUAUUUUAAAAUUAUUUAAUUUUUUUUAUAUGGAAAAGAAAAAAAAAGAGUGAAGUAAGUUUGAAAAAACAAGUAAAAAUGAUUUGUUAACUUUAAUAUUUUUUUUCUUUUCUUUUCUUCUAUUUUUUUCUUUUUAGUUUAUUUUUCUCAAAUUUUUCAAAAAAUAAACAUAGAAUUAAAAAAUAAGAAAUAAUUACAGAAUUGGAAACCAAUUUUAGAACUUGCUUAUAUGAUUGCAUUAGUUUGUGUAAAUAAUAAUUUUAUUGAAUGUUAAGAGAGUGGUAUUAAAUGCACAUUAUUUAAUAUUUUUAUUUCUAAAGAAAGUAAUCUUUACAUGGAUUGGACCAGUGUUUAUUUAUCCAUGUGGGCCAGCCCAUUAAAAACAUCAAACCAACAACUCAAGGGACGACCCUGGUCAUUCUCGGGGGCCCACAACCUUCAUCUCAAACAAAAGCCCAUGGGCAGGAUCACCUUCCACACACAUCUUCAUACCAGCCACCACGCUACCAACAAUCCUCCUCCAUGAAAGCCCACCUCCAUCACAGCAAGCAGAAAAUCCAACACGCCAACCAUCAACCUCCGCACAGACCUAACACUGCAUAGCCGUGUUUUAGGAGUGUUAGGACGUGAUUAGAGAGGAUCUACUUUGAGUGUUCAUGGAGUUUCGCUAUAAGAGGAAUCAGUUUACCAAAAAUUCUUCAUGAAACCAUCCAUUUAUCUCAGGGAACAUUUAUGAAGUAGAGUCAAAUAGAUUUACAAAUAAGAGAUGAUUGAUUCCUUUGAAUGAAAUAACCUUAUUUCAAAUUGCCCUAAUGUGGCCUAAUAAGCAAAAUUACUGGUUAUAUUUUGGACACAUCUCAGUAGAGGUUCGGGGGAGAAAAUAGAAGAAGCAGAGAUGCUUACUUACUUCAGAGGGGCCACUGCUCGCCACCACCACUUCAUGGCUGUGCCCAUUUCACUUGCCCAAGCCACUCUCUUCUCCAAACCCUCCAUUUUACUCCACAGAAAUGCCAUCAAUGGCUUCUCCUUUUUCAUUCCUUUCUCCUCUUCUUCUGCUCAGAAGAUUCAGACUCACAAGUGGAGGCAACCGGUGGUCUCGGUUCUGGAUCUUGGUGGAGUCAAGAUUGGCAGAGAUGGUAACAUACCCACAUCCCAGAAUUGCGUUUAAAAAGGAUCUUUAGCUUGAAUUUCGUGUGCCCAAUUUGCGUUUUUGCAGACAUUUGCACUCAAGUCGUGUCGUUUGUUUGCAAUUUCACAAUCUGAUUUCUUUUCUAUUGUGCGUUUUUUUUUCCUGCUAGGUUCGAAUUCAAGCAUCCAAUUUGCGUUUUUGUGGGUAGUCUUAUGCCCAACUUGUGUCAUUCAAUUUGCAAUUGUUGUUAUCAGACUUCCUUCUCUCUUUUGAGACUUACACAGUUAGAGACGUCAUUUCUGUGAAAUUAAGAAUGCAUGUUCCAACUUUCACUUCUUUCUCUCUCUCUCUCUUUUUUUUUUUUUUUGUGAAAUUGGAAUUCAAGAACUUAUUUUACGUUUUACAAGCUUAGCGGGUUACGUUUCUGUUCUAUUUGUUGUGCUGUUGGAGGUGUUUGGUGCAUUUAUAUAACUAGGCUUGCAAUUUCGCCCUCUGAUAAAGGUUAAAUUUUCUCCCUUUUUAUUUUAUAUUUUUUUAAUGGUGUAUUUGUUUUGGGUAUUUGGUGAAAUGAGGAUUUUGUACUGGGUUUAUGGCAUUUUUUCAAUUGGUUUGAUAUAUGUGAAUGUGGGUUUUGUAGGGAAGAUAUGCAAAUUUUUUGAAAGUAAGAAUGCAAUUACAACUCUGAUUUCCUUUAUAUUUAUAUUUUUUUAUGCUUAUUUGCAUAUUGGUUGAUGUCAAAAUUCAUCUAAUGGGUUGUUUUUUAUUGCUUUGGAUUGGUUUAAUGUAGUUGAAUGGUGGAUUUUGUUUCUAAAACUUAGGGUCAAUUUCAAUUUUUAUUUUAUUUUUUUAUUUUUUCAAUUUGAAGACCUGGGAGUCUAUGUGAUUGGAAUUGAUGUACUCGAGUUUUUGGAUUUUGCUGAUUGCCUUGAUAAACUUGGGAUGCAGAGCCUUAAAAAAUAAACUACAUUCACUAAGCUAUAUCUCUGAUUAUACUUCGUCAGAGCGUGAAAUGCAACUUGGAGUCUUUGUAUUUUUUAAAUUUUUUGGGUUAUUCUAUUCUGAAUAUUUGGUAAAAUUAGAAUUCAUGUACUGAACCUUUUUCAAGUUCUUUUGGUUGGCUUGAUAUAUUUGGUUGUGGGGUUUGUAGAUGUGGUGAGGGAUGAUCCUACAAACAAUGUCCCGGAUGCAAUUUUUUUGAAACUUGGAAUGCAGCUUCACAGGAGGGAUCAACACCCAGUUGGAAUUCUGAAGAAUGCAAUAUAUGAUUAUUUCAAUGCCAAUUACUCUAACAAAUUUGAUAAGUUGGAUGACCUUUGCCCAAUAGUCUCCACAAAAGAGGUUUGACCAUUAAGAAAUAAAAUAGAAAUUGUAUGCAUGUUUUUUUUUCACUGUUUUGAGCUAUACAUUGCACUAUUUGGAACUUGUAUUAUCUUUCUAUGACUGGUGCUUGACAUUUUGUUGCUGUUUAUAUUUAUUUUGCUGCUCAUUUCUUGUUGGUUAGUGUCCUGUCCUAGGUGUUUUAACAUUUAAGAAUCCAUGAAAGUGGUAUUUGCAUAUGUUGCCCAUUAUUCCAUCGACGAUGUUCUAAGUAGGGAACCUAGUAUCCAAACUUCCAUCCAAACUUACAUAUAAAAAAAAAGUCCAGAACAGGCAUUCAGUUUACCAGGUUUAUCAGUUCUCUCCAGUGUUUAUUCAACUCUUAAAUGCAGUAUUCUGGACAUACUCCAAAUUUGAAAUUCCUUUGGUAAAAUAAAGGCAUGGUACUUAUAGUGGUCUAUUAAGGAAAAGGUUUGUUUGACCUAGCUUUUGUACAAAAAAUUCAAGGAUAGUCUUGCAGAUAUGUAUCAUAUAGGUGUAUAUUUCUCUAUCAUGAUACAAGUGAGAAAAAAUUCAGGAAAGUUGUUUUGUUUAAAAAAAAAAUUGAAAGUUAAUUUAUGUUUUGAGAGGGACAUUAGGCAACCUAGGAUUCAAAGGGACAUAUUGUCUCUUAGGAAAAUAUAAUUCAUAGCAUUCUCAACCACUUACAGGUUAUUUCAGUCCUUUUAUAUUGAUUUAUUUAAUUUUUUUCUUUAUUGUAGGCAAGCAAAAAAGAAUUUUACAACACCUACUAUUAUCAUUAUUUUGGUAAUUAGCAUUGAUGGAGAUUGUAAAAAUUCUCUAAUAGUAUUGCAGGAGAAAAAUAAUAUUUAUGAAUUUUUGUUAAACACAAUUGUCAUAAUGAUAAUAAUUAAUUAGAAUAAUAUAAGUUUGUAAUUGGAAAAAUUUUAAAAAAUAAAAGCUUUUGGAAAUAGUUUGAAUAGGAGUAGAAAAUUCUUGGAUUUCAUGGAGAGCUUAGGUGGGAUCUAAAGCAUGGGGCUGUUUGCUAUCUAUUUUAGUAUUUGCUGCUCUUCUCUCUUAUAGGUGUUCAGCUGCAGCUUGUAUUCUCUGAGCGUACUUGGGUUGUGCCCCCUUUUGUGUUCUUCAAUAUAAUCUUCAGGCUCAUGACUAGUGCAAUUUCUACUAAUUGAACACUUUUCACUUCAAAUAAUAUUCAGUAAUCUAAAUAGCAUUUAUCAAAUUAUUCUAACCCGCCAUUAGAUUUAUAAAGAACCCAAAAUAUGAAAUUUUCUUCUUAGGCAUGAGAAAUUGUCAUUGUUAUAAACCCCAUGUUUGUCUUGUACUUACAAGCAUAAUUAUAAAGCAUGAUCUGCGUGUCUUAUCAUGAAAUAUAACAAUGUCAUAAAAUAGAUGAUUGAUAAAAUGUUAGAAGUCCAUUGCAAAUGCUUAAUGGAACUGAAAAUUAUUACAGAACAAGUGCAUAUUUCACUCAAACUUUUAUGCAGUAGUGGUAGCUUAUAAACUCACAACUUUGUAAUCAUGUGCUUGAAUCAAGCAAACUUAAUGGCUCUCAGCUACAACUGCUCUACAUUUUAACCAUUGUUUUAUGUUAUGGGAAUAGUGACUGAAUUACACAGUUCCAUCAUUAUAAUUUAUGCAUUGUAAUUUCAUUUGUGGGACUUAGUUUUCACAUGUGUUCACAUGUCAUAACUGUAAUUUCCCUAAUUUUAUGAGAAAGAAAAACUCUUUAAUUUUCCCUAUUUUGACUGAAACUUUUGGAACUUGGACUUUAUAUGGUGCAAAUGUAUGUUAUCAGCUAUUGCUUUUGACCAGUCAUGAGUAGAUACUAUUUAUAAAAAGACACAAAGGAGGAUAUAAUCCAAGUGCACUUGUAGUCAACAAGUUACUCUGGGCAUCAAAAUUGAAAGAAACAACAAUGAAGAAAAGCAGCAAGAAAGUGCCCCUACCUCCCAAACUCUCAAUGAACUAAUGGAAGGAUCUACUACUAUGCAAGAUAACUUCUUCUAAGCACAACUACACAUAACAAUACUUAGCCUGCGCUAUGGUGUCAAGUGGUAGGGUCAUUGGAACAUGCCUAUUUUGAUGGAUUUUAAUUUGUGGGGAUAGUUAAAGUGUAAAGUGUUUGAUAAAAUAAAUUUGCUAGUUUUAAUAAAUUGGAAUUACUACUGAAUGAAAUGUGAAGCUAGAUAUUAGGAGGAGAAAGAAAGAUAAUUAAUUUAUUUGUAUGACACUAUGACUUACACAUUGUGAAGCUUACUAGUAGGGAAUUGUUGAACAGGGGAACUUACUUAAUAGGGGAGAAAGAACCACACAUAUUUCUUGAUGAGUAAAUAUAAUUACAUUAGCCAAAGGCCAAAAAUAUAUGAGUAGUUCACUAAUUGCAUGUUAUUGGAAAGAGAGCUGAGCAACUAUGAUUCAUAAACUUUUUACAAUUUAAAGGCCUGGGUCCAAUGAGAUAUGUUGCAUCAUAUUACCUAAUGAACCAAUGAAGUUUAUGGAUUUCCAAAACUUCUUGGAGAGGUUCAUUAUUUUAUGGUUCUUUUUUUUUAGGGUUCUUUAUUUUCUCUUUGCUGAGAUAUCUAGAAUAUGGCAUGGUAGGUAUUUUUGCUCCAUACCUCUUUGGAGGUCGAUUCUUUGGCAAAGUAGGAGGAAAACAAAUUAGCAUCAACUUUGGCUUGACUUGAGAUCACAAAUCUGACUAGAGAUUUUGCAGUAGUGUGUUGAGGUCUAAUCUGAAUCCAGGUUGUGAUGUGUGCAUCAAAGAGUCUUUCCAUAAGCCAUGAAGCUUUGAGGUGUUUUGUGAUGGCAUGACUGGAUAAUGAGCUGCAUUUUGGUCUGGAAUUUGGAGUUCGGUUAUGCAUUUCUGUAUCUAUAUCUCCAAAAUUAUUAACUAAUUUUAAUUAUUUUAUCUAUUUUUCAAAAUAAACAUUCAAAAUUGAAAGUUUGUGUCACGAGUCUUCAGGCUUAUCCGGAAUAGAAUGCCCUGCAUUAACUCUUGCUGUUAAUGCAUAUAAUACCAGGUCAGUCAACACAGCCAUUCGCUUGCUUAUGUUGACUUUCAAUGGCUUAAAGUUUAUGGCUUCAAUGGUUAUUACCAUGCUAACACUCAAACUAAUUCUUUUUUUGAUAGGUAAAUAAGAGCUUGUAUUAGAAGCGCCUAGAAGUGGCGAAAACAGUACACAUGAAGUAUACAAACAGAUUGCCCAAGAAACUAGGCAAAGAAGACAAAAAACCUUUCCCCUAACUAGACAUAUGGCCACUCUAUAAAAUGGUCAUUGGUUUCCUCUUUCUCUUUACACAAGCAUAUUCAAACUAAUAACUAAUAGUUAUUGGAUUUAAAGCUUGUUUGUUAAUGUUCUUCAUGGUUGUGCUUCUAUUUUUAAUCGAUUCUCUUGGCCAUCACCGUUUCCCCCUUAUUAAGAUUGGAUAUUUAAGUUUCAACGAAACAGCCUACUAAAUCCUCCAGAUAGAUCCUAUUUAUAAGGCAUGGAAGUUUGGUCAAUGUCUGCUUCCAAGAUUCUUAUCCAUAUUUCUAUGAAUUCUUAUGCCAGAAAGUCUACUUCUUGCAGAAUUUUGAUGAUGUCUUGGUUCCUCCUGAUCACGUCAGUAGAAGUUACAAUGAUACAUACUACAUUGACUCCCAAACUGUCUUGAGGUGCCACACUAGUGCUCAUCUAGCAGAGCUAUUGAGGAGGGGACACACUCAUUUCCUUGUGACUGGAGAUGUUUAUCCUAGAGAUUCCAUUGAUUCAACUCACUACCCUGUUUUUCAUCAGGUUUCUUAUCUCUGAUUUUAUCAAUGAUUGUUUUCUAUUAACAAGUUUCUUAAUGUUUUCUUCAGUUCAAUAACUUAUCAUGCAGAUGGAAGGUGUUCGUGUCUUCUUUCCAGGUGAUUGGGAGACAUCUGGAAUGGAUGGCACGUCUUAUGCGGCUGAGGAUUUAAAGAAAUGUCUUGAGGGUUUGGUGCAGCACUUGUUUGGUAAACUUAGAUCAGGAGAUUGUCUUAAUCAGAUGCAAACUUAAUGCUAUCAGUUCAUGCUGCAGUGAGAAAUAUGAGUUAAGGAAUCAUUUAUCAGGUCGAAUAAUUCAAAAUCUGGGAAAUACUGCAAGUAAAAGGGGGGAAAAAUAAUGAAAUAAUAAAAUAAUAAAAUAAUAAAUUUAAGUG
rnacentral:lncRNA from 1 species